UGGGGGAAAAGAGGAGAGGAUGUCAGAAAAGAUGAUCGGAGGCGGUCCCGUUGAGCGCUCCUUUAAGAACAAGGGUACUGCGAAGACACGGCCCUUCCUCUAGCGCCAAUCCUGUUGGUGCAAAAAUCCACCGGCGUCGGAGAAGCUAGAGUCGAGGGAGCCGCGGUCACCGUCGGGACCUACAAAGGAAGUCUAAACCAGAGUUGGGGG
rnacentral:lncRNA from 1 species